rnacentral:rRNA from 1 species
UAAAGGGUUGUUGAAGACGACAACGUUGAUAGGCGGGGUGUGGAAGCGUAGUAAUGCGUUGAGCUAACCCGUACUAAUUGCCCGUGAGGCUUAACCAUACAACACCGAAGGUGUUU